AAUAGGAUAGCUGGGUCAAAUGGUGGUUUCAUUCCAAGUUUUCUGAGGAAUCUCCAUACUGCUUUCGAUAUUGGAUGCACCAAUUUGCAGUCCCACCAGCAAU
rnacentral:pre_miRNA from 1 species